GGGGCUGAGUUGGUAUCGACAGGUAAAUAAAAGUAUGAUGCAAGUCGGAUUUUCGAUCCGUAAAAUCGAAAUAUUUAAAAUAACAAUUGCUAUUAAAAAUUUAUUUAGUAAUCAAAAAACUUACGCGUUCGCUUAAUGUUUUGAUAUUAUAAAUUGAAGCUUCAAAAUUUAUAAAAAAUGAUAGCUGCUCUUUUAAGUUUAAGUUAAGACUUUUUUGCUCAAUUUGCUAGUAUUAGCUAAGCUUGUGAAUGAAUUAUAUAUUUUGUUUAGUUGGACGUGGGUUCGAAUCCCACCAGUUCCAUGC
rnacentral:tmRNA from 1 species